UAUCUAUUCAUGUCAAGUGUGUGUUUACUUAAAAAAAAAAGGGAUUUCCCGUUAUUAUUUUCUCUUCUUCGAAUCUACCGCCUUUUUUAUAAUUUUAUAAUCAUCUGUUUAAUAAUCAAUAUUUAAGCCAAAAAAAGAGCCAUGAUUAGGAAAUGGAACCCUUAUGGAUAUCAAAAUAUAAACUCGUUUUUAUCAUGUUUAUAAUAUCCGAAUUGAGUUGUGAAAAGACAAUUACUUUGACACAGGAGAACCCUUACAACCAGAAUCAGACGUUUUUCAACAACGAACACAAUUUUGUUUUCCAUAGUCAAGUGACUGUCACAGAAGACAUAGAAUCGUUUAGUGAGAUAAACUUCCAAAUCAAAUCCAAAACCUAUAAGGACUUUCAAAUGAUCUGCUACAUUGAUGUGGAACUUUGCGAACGCCAAAAGGAAGAAAAUUGUCACUGCCAGUACAACAGCACAGACAACAUUUAUUUGAUCACCAUCAACAUCACAGCUAAAGUAUCAUUCAGCUUAGGAACUGUACGCGGCGUGCUGAUUUUUAAGGAUUACAGCGUCUAUAGCAAUGAGAUGAAGCUGCCAAUGAUCUUCGCCUAUCCAGAGUCUGUUUGUCUGUUUGUAAACGACACAAAAAUACCUGACUUGGAGCGGUGCAAUGUGACGACAGACAAAGACUUUGCCGUGAUUAUUUUCUUCUGUUCCUCGGCAUCAUCUUAUAAAUUGGAGAUUGAAGACGGUAUCAGGAGAAUGUCCAACGAUUCUAACGUCUUAGUACACACAGUGAACACGACAACUCAAAAAGAUAUAAGACUUUACCAGAGAGACCUAGAAUCAAACGUAGUGCUUAGACAUUAUCAAUGUCGCCUCCAAGCAGUAUAAUAGGUUAUCCAUUUGUUACUCGAGAACCUCAUGAGGUAAGUACUAGAGGCGUAUUUUUAUAAAGCUUAUAUUGACUUACUCUGUCUAUCUAUUAAAAAGUUCGCACACGCUAUUUCUCCUACACCCAGACUAGGAUUGUGCUGAAUUUUUUUUUGUACAAUUAUUUCUUUUACUUAACAAUACAAGACAGUACAAAAUAAUUAAUUAGUUGAAUUACUAUUGGUAAUUAAUGGUUAUAUUUUUGGUAUAUUGAAAAAUGAAAAAUAAUCGUACUUGACAGAAGUGGUGGUAUAAGUUGAAUCAGUCCCCUUGAAAACUCUUGAGCCCUGGGAGAACAUUUUUAUGCUUAAAAAAUAUUAUGCAAACAAGAUUGAAGCAGAGACUGAAGAGUUUGUGUUUUAUCUUGCUGUUGAAAUGUGUUUUUACCAAGAUUAAAUGAACUCACUCUGUCUGUAGGGUACUCAUUUGUACACGUUAUUUCUCCCACUUUUCAUUCUCAUAUAAAAAUGAGCUUUGCACAAAAAUUCAUGGUCCCUACCAACACAAGAAUCAAUUGUAAAAAGUUGACCAAUUAUUUCAUGAAUUAGUCAAAAUAAGUCUUUUUAUUUUAAUAAAGAGACAGUACCAGCUAAAUUUGAAACUAACAGCAGAUAACUAUGUAACCUUUCAUUUUUUUAGCACUUGUCUAGCUCGGCGGCUAGCGUGUCGGCCUUCCAUCAAUCAGGCUUGAGUUCAAGACUUUGAAAUUAAGUUGUGCAGCUGUAAAGAAAAAACUUUCGAAAGCCAUCAGGAUAAGUUUCUCUUGAAACCUACUCCAUUCCCUUCCCUCCCCAUCUGGUCCACACGAAUGGUUACACUUUAGCGCUUUGAGCAUGUUAACAUUAUGAAAUCGUGUUAAACCAAAGCCAUCAUUUAAAAUAUUUUCUAUUUCACACAUUUAGUACUGUUAUUCUAGGUCUGUUCUGAAUAAAUUAUUAAACAAAGAAAAGUUCUAUUCUCAGACGAUCUAUAAUGCAGAUGAUAUAAAGCUCAACUGUUUCUAUGGCCCACGGCUAACGAGGGUGUCAUGUAGCCAGCACAACAACCAACCGUCUUCAAAGAAAUAAAUAAAUAUCCCAAAAUUGAAAAUCCCUGUCUUCAAAGUAAUUGAUAAAUUUACAAUUAAUAUACGCUUUCUUUUUUUAAGUUUUGUUUUCUUGCUGGCUAAUUAUUGUUUUUGUGUUUUGUUAUGCUGCUUAGGGCGCAAGUGAGAAUUGUUUAUUGCUGUACUGUCACAGUCUUAGUUGACAUUGCAUGAUCUUAAGUUCACGUCAUGUUAAUAGUUUAAAAGACACGUGGAAUUCCUGAUGUAGAAAACAGGAAGUAGAAUGAAAAGUUGACUUUGAGUUCAGUCAAAAUCAAGUAAGUAAGGUCUUGCUCCCGGUACAGGAAGGUUGGACGUUUCCUCCUGGACUGGUGGAUAUGUAUGCAUAUAGCAUGAGAGUCGAAGGACUAGUCAUUGUUGAUUAAUAAUAUUUGAGAGUUGACUUCAUUAUGUGCUUAUUGAAUAUUAAGGUAUUAUUCGUAUUUCAAUGGAUAUCUAUAGUUGAAGCUCCAGUGUCACUAGUAGUAAUUGUUCUUAUUGUUACCCGCUGAGAUGCGGACGUGAUUUGUUGUUAACGUAUUGGAUACUUUUGAUACUGCUGUUAUGCGGAUAUGAUUAUUAUUUCUUGACUUGUAGCACUAACAAGGAGUGCAGUAUACUAUUAUUCUGUUGUAAAUAAAAUCUUCAUGUUGUCUGCUGAACGGACUUGAGUCAGUCGUAUAGUGUUUGUCUCGUCACGUGUCUAGAGCACUUCAGGAAGUAAGAACCCAGUAUUACACCAUUCAAUCAGUCUCUGGUAUUCGUCAUGUCAUUCAUUGACAUUUUUGGUGGACAGUAUGUUGUGUGCUAGACACGCACGGACUCAACUCAAACACCACUCAAGCGAAACCAGUCACAAGUAUUCAAGUAGAUCAUCAUUGAACUAACCUGAACUAACCUGAGCCUGCACUUUUUCACCUGUUGACCUGACCCGUAUGUACUAGAGUCCACUUUAUCAUUGACCAAUUCGAACUUAACAUCAAUAGCUUGUAUAUUUUAAACCUGGUCAAUGCUUAUUGCUUAUUGAGAUUGAGCACGGCGUGACAUCACCAUCGGCAGAAACCGAAGACAGCUGACAUUUGUGUGGGUGAAAAACUCAAGGCGUCGCUCGAAGACAGCUGAUACAUUUGUGCGGGUGAAAAACUCAAGGCGUCGCUCGAAGACAGCUGAUACAUUUGUGUGGGUGAAAAAUUCAAGGCGUCGCCUGAAGACAGAUGAUACAUCGUUUCCACGUGAGCGCUCGUCACCAACUUUUGACACGCUCUUGCAUUGUCGAGGUUUCACCUUACAUUGCUAUACAGAAGGUCCUCCAUUUAGACCUCUGUUCACUUAUGGUCAUUCUGUUUUUUCAGAGACGUUACAUAUUUGGAUUAUCUAAGCUGAAGUCUUCCACUUAAGUACUGUUGGAUUUAUUGGAUUAUUUAUACGAAUGUUCAAGUACUUUUGGAUUAUUGAUCUUUGACGUUGAAGUUGGACUAACUUGUACCUAUUGGCGCUCUCCUAGUCAUCGUUGUACACCGAAGAAACACGUGCCUGCAUUACUACACUUAACUCUUGGAUUAUCUUAUUGGAUUAUUUGGAUUACCUGUUGGACUUGUGUUAAUUGUAAAGGUCAAGAGAAAAUAUUUUUUGACAUUACUUGAGCAUUUGAGCCCUCUUAUGGCAUAUGACUGGAUUAUUUUACUACUACUUUGAUGCUCACAUUGAUGUGUAUUCUCAAUCGGAUUACUUAGUUACCUUACCCAUGGAUUAUUAUGGAACUACUCAAGCUGUAUUUGUAUUUGACAAGCUACAAAAGAAAGAAUCUGUAAGUAAUAAUUAAGAAUUGGAUAUAUGAUUAAUAAAGUACAUUGAUUUUGCUGUGGUAUAGCAGUAAUUGAAGUUGAUUAUAUAGAGAGUUAGUGAUAGAUAACUCUUGGAACCAUAUUAAUCUGAUUUUCAUUUUUUAUAUUUGUUACCUUAAAGGGCGGUCGGCGUGGGUCUGUCUUAUGUUUUGAGACUGAAGCGGCACAAUUUAUUUGUUCCGUUCCAUUUCACUUCAUCUGAUAGGGAUCUUUAGGGAUUUUCUUUUUGUUCUCCUAGUCCUAAUAAGGUCCGAGUAGACCAGCCUUGUUCGGUAGGGACUUCUAGAUCAUUCAGAAAUUUUUUGUUUAGUCGUAUUUAGUUUUGUUUGUACAAUCGUAGUGUGAUUUCUCUUCGUGUUCAUAUUGUUUGUUCGUGUAAGUCUUGUAUUUACACAUCUGUGAUUCUCCUGUCAAAGUCUUCUAUUUAUUGAUUUCUUUUAAAGCAGACUGUAUUGUUAUCUAUAUUGCUUUUGUGUUCGUCACUUAUCCUUUAAUUUAUCUCUUUAUUCUCUUAUUAAUUUAUUUUUUGCAUUUCAUUUUUUCACUGCACGUAUAACAUCUUACAAGAAUAUAUUUGAUGUGUGUCGUCGACACUGAUUUUUUUGAGGAGAAGAUUGUAUUUAAUGAGAAACUAUUGGAGCAUUAUUGAUGGCUCGUGAAGUAAUAUAUUUGAUAUGUGUCGUAGACACUGAUUUUUGAGAAGAUUGUAUUGAUAUGAGAAAAUUAUUGGAGCAUUAUUGAUGGCUCGUGAAGUAGUAUAUUUGAUGAUGUGUGAUGUAGACACAGAUUUUUUGAGAAGAUUGUAUUUAAUGAGAAACUAUUGGAGCAUUAUUUAUGGCUCGUGAAGUAAUAUACUUGAUUUUUGAAAGAACAUUGUACUUGAUUCAUGAAGACUAUUGGAGCAAUAUUGAUGACUCAAAGUAAUAUACUUGAUAUUAUGUAAUGUAAACUAAUUUUUUGAGAGAAGAUUGUAACUUAUACAUUUGUUAAAGCAACUUGAGUUCACAGUAAGACAUAUGAGCCAAAUGAAUAUCAUGAUAACGACCUUCACGCUUUAAUAUGCUUAUGACUUUGAUGAUUUAGACGUUCCCCAUAAAUCAUCAUUGAAGAAUAUAUUUUCUUGACUUUCAUGAUUUAGUUGCAUUGUCAAAACAUUGUCAUUAUUUUUGUACAUAAACCAUUGAGACAACAUACAUAUUUAUUAUAGAGAUAUUUCACUUGCAUUGAUUUAUUUUAAAGAACAUUGUCAAUAUUUUUUCAUUUGACCAUGUAACCAUUGUCAAUAUUUUUCAUUUGAUUAUGUAACCUGAUUGGAUAAACUAAGUAUAUUAGUAUACGAUCAUUUUUCACGGCUGCUCUCACUCUGUUGUAAAAUUAAUAUUGAAAGCAUUCUAUUGAUGAAUUGAGAAUUUACUUUGAAAUUUUGUGUAAAAAAAACAUAAACAAGACAACUUGCUUUUUUCAAAUAAUGUUGACAACUAUAGUAUAGUCUACACAGACAAAUAUUUUUUUUCAAAUAUUGUAAAGCCAAAUGAGACCACAAAUAGUCUCAUCAAAAUUUUUGAUAGCAUGAUAAGACAUGUGCAAGAGAUUAUAGCACAUAUUGUACAUUUGUAUAUAUUAUUUUUUCUCUCAAAAGAUGUGACUAUACAUUUAAUAGUAUUAUUACUUAAAUUUUUUAAAAGAUUUUUACAAAAUCUUUUUUGAGGGAAAGGGCGUAAUGUCACAGUCUUAGUUGACAUUGCAUGAUCUUAAGUUCACGUCAUGUUAAUAGUUUAAAAGACACGUGGAAUUCCUGAUGUAGAAAACAGGAAGUAGAAUGAAAAGUUGACUUUGAGUUCAGUCAAAAUCAAGUAAGUAAGGUCUUGCUCCCGGUACAGGAAGGUUGGACGUUCCCUCCUGGACUGGUGGAUAUGUAUGCAUAUAGCAUGAGAGUCGAAGGACUAGUCAUUGUUGAUUAAUAAUAUUUGAGAGUUGACUUCAUUAUGUGCUUAUUGAAUAUUAAGGUAUUAUUCGUAUUUCAAUGGAUAUCUAUAGUUGAAGCUCCAGUGUCACUAGUAGUAAUUGUUCUUAUUGUUACCCGCUGAGAUGCGGACGUGAUUUGUUGUUAACGUAUUGGAUACUUUUGAUACCGCUGUUAUGCGGAUAUGAUUAUUAUUUCUUGACUUGUAGCACUAACAAGGAGUGCAGUAUAUUAUUAUUAUGUUGUAAAUAAAAUCUUCAUGUUGUCUGCUGAACGGACUUGAGUCAGUCGUAUAGUGUUUGUCUCGUCACGUGUCUAGAGCACUUCAGGAAGUAAGAACCCAGUAUUACACCAUUCAAUCAGUCUCUGGUAUUCGUCAUGUCAUUCAUUGACAUGUACACAAAAUAAACCUUGUGUGUCUGUAAACUGGAGUUAUUAAGUUUAUUUUCUGAAAGUUUUGAGAAAGCUUGAACAAAAAACAAAUUACCCAAUUCCAGAUAUAUAGCCAUCAAAGUGACUGCUUUUUACAAAAUGUCAUAGUUUCGUCUUUAUGUGCAGCGUUGCUGAUUAUUUUCCUGAGUCUUGGAUUUAUUAUGUAUUACAAAUACAAGUUUAACGAAGAAAAAAGGAAAAACAUUAAUGGAAAAGAUGUUGAUACGAAUCCUCGCACUAAACGUCAAACAUUGAAGUUCAAUUUGGAAAGGUUCUCGCCAGGCAAUUCCUCUUGUUAGGUUUGAAUUUGAUUUAUAACAACCUUAAAUCUGGAGGUCUGUAAGUAAACGUAAGACUUACAUAUUUUCAAGACCAUUUUAUUGUAAUGUUGCUGUUUUUUAUUUUAUAAAUAUAUCCAUCUCUUAAGCUUCCACUUGACCAGAUUACUUAAGCUAUUUUAAUGGAAAGCAUUUUUUUCCCUGGUGGAUCAAACUAUUAUAUUUUUUUCUCAGUUCGUAAACGCAAUGUUUUGGCAACAUUAUUGUAAUAAUAUUCGUCAUUUUAUAAGUAUUUUAUAAAACAAUCAAUAUUACAAAAGAACAAAAUAUUUUUAAAUCAUAUUAAGAGCACAAGCAUUCCUUUGCCGUAGCAUUUUUUGUGCACAUUAAUGCAUGCAUUGCAUUAUUUGCUAAGCAAUUAGCGUUAUGUAUGCUAUGUGACUUUGUUUUAUUUCUUUAAGAGAUGCGUUUUAAUAUAAAGUACUUUGUUUUUUUUUAAUGAACUAUAUUUCGUUUUUCUUUCGGAAAUAUGUUUAGUUUGUUGUAUGAAAUAUAUAAUUUUUUUUUACAUGAAAUUUGUAUGUGACGAUUACUGUUUUUUGUGCCUCAUUGUGACAAUUUUAUAGGCCUAAUUAGGGUGGCGUUUACAAUACAAUGUUUAUAUUUCUUUUAUGUAUACAUAAUGACAAAAACUAAUUCAGAAUACAGCACUACUUGAGAUAUAUUCUUACAGAACCAAUGAAAUAAUACAUUGAUAAUUUAAUAGCAAUUAAAUAUACUAAAAAUGAACAAUUGAGCUUUUCUAUCUUCUGAACUUAAAUUUUACUUUUACUAGUAAUUGACUUUAAAGAUAUAAAGUACACAAACAAAUAUUAUGAAUUGAGACUCGCUAAAUACUCAACCUUUCAGACUAACUAGUUUUUCCCAAAUUUAAGAUUUUUUUUUAAAUCAUCUUUUCUAUAAUCCCAGAAACUUCUAUUCUUAAUAUUGCUAUUGGCUAUGGCCUUCUAGAAACUGAUUUUACGACUUGUUUCCCGACAUUUUUCUCUAGUUGGUUAAUUAUAAAUAACACUUGCUAACCAUGAGAACUUUUAUGGACCUGACAUUUUCUAGAAGAAAAAAAAAGGAUGUGGUCAUAGUAUUGAUUCGUAACAAUGUAUGGUAUUUAAUUUAGAUUACUAUAGUACUUCCAUUUCUUAUAUGGUCUCUUUAUUUCAGUUUUUUUGUAAUGAAAUAUAUUUAGUAUAGAUAUAAAAUAAGUCUAACUUUUUAAUGAUAUAUGUUUAUUUUUUUAUAUGAAACGUCUUCCUCCUAUGUAGUAGAGAUUAAUCUCUUUUUUUGUUUACUGAUUGUCGUUUUCUAUCUUUUUUUAAUAUUUUUUUUUUUGAAGUUUAUGUUGUUUUACGAUUUUGAUACAACGCUUUAAACAUGUUCAGACAAUGAAUAUUAUUCCCUUUGAUCUCUUAGCGUUUACAACUAUUUUAUUAAAUGUAUUGACAAUAUACAUAAGAACUUCUUAAAUGCAAGUUGAAAUUACAAAUAAUGUUGUCAGGUACAGUUAGUCUCUAGUGCUAUUAGAGCAUGGAAUGGGUUUCCUGAUUCAGCCAGGAAUACCAAUGACUUGAUAUGAAUGAGAACAUUAUAUGCGCGAUGUUUUUUUUUUAUAUGUCUCUAGUGUUCCUUGUAUUAGAGAGAGAAUUUAGUUAGUCACUUGUUUAUGAGCGUAAAGGAGAGAUGGUGUUUUUGUGCUGUCACAGAGUUGUUAUUUUUUCAAUAGUUAGUAAACUUAUUUUUUCUGGUUAGUAAGAGUCUUCUGGUUUAUUUAUUGCAUAUUCGCAUGUUAACCUGUAUGUAUAGUUGAUUUUCAGUAAUUUUAGUUGUUAGUGUUGAAGUCGCAGCGUCAAGUAACCUCGUUUUCGCUCACAAUGUUGUUAUGUAUAUAUUUUUUUAUUAACGUAACUUACAUUACGUGAUUGCACCUAUGUCAUCGAUUAAAUUACUGCCACAAACUUCAAACCUAAAAUGUCCAUAUUCAUCUUCAUAAUUCUGCAAAUUUUUCUUUAAUAGAUGGAAUUUUAACAUUUUUACUAUAAAAAUAUUAGGCAUUUUAUUGUUAAAAAUGAAUAAUAUAUUUAUACUGACUAUCGUUUUUACAUCAAAUAUAUAACCAUCAAAUUGUGUUCAAAAUUAAGGCAUUUAACGUAUAUAUAUAUUUACUAAACAAUCUGUAUAUAAAUAUAAGGUAUUUUGUAUGUAUAUAUAUAGUUGUAAACUCAAAAUGAAUGUGCUAUUUUUAAAAAAUCGUAUUGUAAUAUAGUUAAUUUUGAAUUGAUUUUGAUAUCAUCUUUUGCUUAUUUUGUGUAAUAGUAAUAUCUACAUGCUGUUUUCUUUCUUCGAGUUACUGACCACACAAUAACUAAAUGAAAAAAAAAAUAUUUCUUAGCAGCUAACAGCAACUAGCUGGAUUAUUAAACUACAAGCAUUUAAAUAGUUCCUAAGUCCAUUAGCUGCUAAUACAUCUGUUUAUAAAAUAUAAGAAAACAUGCCAUAAAAAGCGAUUGGUCGUUGUGCUGGCCACAUGACACCUUCGUUAACAGUAGAACACAGAAACAGAUGACCUUUACAUCGUCUGCCCCAUAGAUCUCAAGGUCUGAAAGGGGAAGUGUACUAUUUUAUAUCAUUGAAUUUUGGAGUGGAGGAGAAGUUUAGCGUCUGCUCAAAUUUUGCUCAAAUCAGGCAUGAACAUGCCUACACAAAAUAUUUCUCUCGCCUUUUAUUGGUCAAUGAAAGAAAUGUUCUAAUUAUCGAUAUAAUUAUUUUCUUUACUCAAAAUUGACCUGUUUGAUACGAACAAUUUAUUUUAGAUAAGUUUUAUGUUUAUUAUUUUUUCAUGAAGUUUAAUUAAGUUAAUUAUAUAAUUGUUAUCGAAACAUAUUUGUUUGUUAAACAGUACUUUAAAUUGUUACAAAUACUGACGCUGCGAGAAUAAAAGUUUGGAGUUAUUC